rnacentral:sRNA from 1 species
UUAUAAGUUGCCAUAGCCGGAUACCGGCUU